rnacentral:misc_RNA from 1 species
GAUGAAGAACGCAGCGAAAUGCGAUAAGUAGUGUGAAUUGCAGAAGUACCGUGAAUCAUCGAAUCUUUGAACGCAAAUUGCACUCUCUGGUAUUCCGGGGAGUAUGCCUGUUUGAGGGUCGCUUAACAAACCAUCGAUUUCGUUGCUUUUUUUUUAAAAAAGUGAUGUUUAUCGGAUUUGAGCCGUCUUUUUUUUUUAUAUUUAAGUGGCUUAAUUGAUUUUUUUUGGUACGAUCGAAGCGUAUUUUUAUGAUCAAUUUUUGGUUAAAGAAACGCACACGUACCGUUAUUUAUAUGAUGUAAUACGUUUGACUAUCGGAUUUAGUUCAUUCGUAUACGAUAUUUUUCAAUAUUUGACCUCAAAUCAGGUAAGAACACCCGCUGAACUUAAGCAUAUCAAUAAGCGGAGGA